AGUGAACGCUGGCGGUAGGCCUAACACAUGCAAGUCGAAUGGCAGCACAGUAAGAGCUUGCUCUUACGGGUGGCGAGUGGCGGACGGGUGAGGAAUACAUCGGAAUCUACUUUUUCGUGGGGGAUAACGUAGGGAAACUUACGCUAAUACCGCAUACGACCUACGGGUGAAAGCAGGGGAUCUUCGGACCUUGCGCGAUUGAAUGAGCCGAUGUCGGAUUAGCUAGUUGGCGGGGUAAAGGCCCACCAAGGCGACGAUCCGUAGCUGGUCUGAGAGGAUGAUCAGCCACGCUGGAACUGAGACACGGUCCAGACUCCUACGGGAGGCAGCAGUGGGGAAUAUUGGACAAUGGGCGCAAGCCUGAUCCAGCCAUACCGCGUGGGUGAAGAAGGCCUUCGGGUUGUAAAGCCCUUUUGUUGGGAAAGAAAAGCAGCAGGUUAAUACCCCGCUGUUCUGACGGUACCCAAAGAAUAAGCACCGGCUAACUUCGUG
rnacentral:rRNA from 1 species